UGAUGUGAUGAAAGCCGGACUCGAGAC
rnacentral:piRNA from 1 species